rnacentral:rRNA from 1 species
AUUGAACGCUGGCGGUAGGCUUAACACAUGUAAGUCGAGCGGAGAUGAGGUGCUUGCACCUUAUCUUAGCGGCGGACGGGUGAGUAAUGCUUAGGAAUCUGCCUAUUAGUGGGGGACAACAUUCCGAAAGGAAUGCUAAUACCGCAUACGUCCUACGGAAGAAAGCAGGGGAUCUUCGGACCUUGCGCUAAUAGAUGAGCCUAAGUCGGAUUAGCUAGUUGGUGGGGUAAAGGCCUACCAAGGCGACGAUCUGUAGCGGGUCUGAGAGGAUGAUCCGCCACACUGGGACUGAGACACGGCCCAGACUCCUACGGGAGGCAGCAGUGGGGAAUAUUGGACAAUGGGGGAAACCCUGAUCCAGCCAUGCCGCGUGUGUGAAGAAGGCCUUAUGGUUGUAAAGCACUUUAAGCGAGGAGGAGGCUACUGAGACUAAUACUCUUGGAUAGUGGACGUUACUCGCAGAAUAAGCACCGGCUAACUCUGUGCCAGCCGCCGCCGUAACAC